UACGUAGGCAGCGAGCGUUGUUCGGAAUUACUGGGCGUAAAGAGUGUGUAGGCGGUGCUCUAAGUCUGUCGUGAAAUCUCCCGGCUUAACCGGGAGGCUGCGGCGGAAACUGGUGUGCUAGAGGGUGGGAGAGGUAAGCGGAAUUCCUGGUGUAGCGGUGAAAUGCGUAGAUAUCAGGAGGAACACCGGUGGCGAAGGCGGUUCUCUGGGCAUUACCUGACGCUGAGGAGCGAAAGUGUGGGGAGCGAACAGG
rnacentral:rRNA from 1 species